GCUGCCGUGGUUUAGUGGUUAACACGCCUGACUUGUAUUUUUUAAGAUAAUCCAGAUUCGAUACCUGGCGGAAGUU